CACACACACACACACACACACACACACACACACACACACACACACACAAUGGCUGUCUUUCUGUCCAUUUUUUUAUUUUACCCCUUUAAUUUGAAAUGCAUUUAUUCAAAAUGAUAACUUUUGACAAUUGGACUUCAACAUGUGAGUCAAACGCACAUCGGACACAGGCGGACAGACAGACAGACAGACCAACUAGCACAAACGCACACACAGUGACAUCCUCAGGGGCCUUUAUUGCUGGCCAGCACACAUGGAGGUCAUUUCAACAGCCUGUCUUCCCCUAAAACCCUUAAAUGGCUUUAACAGCGGGCCGAGCUAGACCAGACACAAACUAAACAGGCGCAUGAGUGUGAUUGCACACGUCCAAUGGCACACAGGAGUAUUUCAAGAUACACACACGCAACCAGCCGAGCUCAAGGGGAACGUAUAACAACGGGGAUUACAACUCCGGCAAUUGAAUUACACAUUGGGAGACAUGAGCAGGACUGAAUGCAUAUAUGUCCGCUGUGCUUAAACCUUCUGUCAAACUCAAACGUUGGUGAAGCCAUGGUUGGAAUAUGGUUACAAGAAGCCACCUGGCCUGACUGAGGGAAACAACGGUUGGCUGGCUGUCUGCUAAAGCCGAUAGCAGGAAACGCAGCCCUUACACUAAGCACCAAACUCUGGAGCUGGAGAAGGAGUUCCCUUACAACAUGUAUUUAUCGAAACAGCGCCGCCUAGAGAUCAGCCAAAACCUUGACCUAACAGACAGGCAGUUCAAAAUCUGGUUCCAGAAUCGCAGAAUGAAGAUGAAGAAGCAACACCGAAGUUCCAGGGAUACUGUGAAAAACAAAAACAGUGAAAACUGAUUAAACCAAGGACAUAGAAGACUGACCCUCUGAUUCAUUGACUGAAUGACAAAAUCAUUAAAGUUUUCAAAGCAUACAUAGACACACGCACGCACGCACGCACACACACACACACACACACACACACACACACACACACACACACACACACACACACACACACACACACACACACACACACACACACACACACACUCAUACAAAGAUAUAUAAUCAAACACUUAAUAACACACGUUUAAUUCUGUUCCGUGUCACUUGUCCGUUUCAUCAUUGUUAUAUGGAAAUUCCAUUUAUAAUGUAGGCCUACUUUAUAUCCUGUGGGAGCUAGAAUUCAAUUUUUAAUUAAUAAGUUUAUUAGCUUGUCUUUUUGAUGCCCACUUUGAAUUAGCGCACAAUUGGUCACCUUUUUGCUUAUAGUAUUUAGUAAGGCUCCACAUCUAGUACAUUCAGCACUUUUAAAAUAGUCUUGAACAUUGCGUUUCUACGUCUCCAGUGAAGUCAGAGGGGAGCUUUUUGGAUUCCACUGCGUAAAGACAUUAGAACAAAUAUAGUAAUCCCUUGCUGACCCAGCACUUGUGUUACGUAUUGGUACUUGUUACAUCAGAAUAGCAUUGUUUUGCAUGUGUUUAAUUUACACCCAAUAUGUGGCACACAUUUGAUAUAUGCAUGUAUUGCCUGAUAGAAUGCCGGAUAGAUUGAUAACACACAUUCAAUUCGGCUUUCCAAUUUAAUGAUUAAAAUCUUCCAAUGCUUUUUUCCUCGAAGGAAUGUAUUAAUAAAGGAACGCCUAUUCAAAGUUCAGAAAGUGGAGACUUAUUGCACACACUACUUUGCAAACUGAUGCACAGUGCUAUCUAGCUAUUCAUUAAAAAUGUAAAGUAGGACACUGAUAUUCCGUUCGCUAAAUGAAGUGUAGCCUACCGGAUAUUAAACUUUCAUAUUCAGAUCCAGAGGCCACACUGACCAAAUAUUCAAUAAUGAGAGUCUUGAUUAGAGAGAGCCUCAUUGACGUCUAUCUUCAGGUAAUAUUCAAGCUCAUUUAUUUUUUAUUUAUAGUUUUAAUUGAACCAACUUGAGUGUAAAGAUUGCAUUGCCAAAUCAUAGGUUUGAUCUUAUUGUGGUGCCGUAUUCAUCACGGAGAAGCAGUAGAAUUGUAUUGAAAGUGCGGCAUUAAAAAAUAUAGCAUCGGCAUACCAUUCUAAGAUUACAAAUGGGUAUUAUUCUUAAAGACGGAUUCAGCCCGAUCUAUCGUGGUCCAAAUGAAGUAUCUAUGUAAAGGCAUAUUAAACAUGGGUUAUUAUUAUUAUUAUUAUUAUUAUUAUUAUUAAUAGAAGAAGUAGUAGCCUAGUAGUAUACAGUAGAAUUAGUAGUAGUGGUAGAAGAGGCAUAGUAUUAGUAUUAUUAUAUAAACUGUUGUAGUAAUACACCUAUUACGUACUGGAUGAUAUCGUAGCCUACGUUUAAAACAAAUAGUAUUAUAACAAAGAAACUUCAUUAUUCAUUUGAUCAAUGUAGCCUACUUAGCUACCAGCCCAAUCUAUACAUUUAAUUAAAGGAAACAACUAAAUAAAUACUUUAUUCACACAUUGAAUUAUGUAAAAUUUAGGUGAGAGGCUUGGUUUGACCUAGCCUUUUAGUUUUUUGUUUGUUUUUGUUGUUUGAGUGUAUUUCGGGAAAGCCUACUUCUUCUGACUUCUAUAGCGAAAUUCCAUGGACAUCCUGAAGACGCGUGAAGUUGAAAAGCCAAGGUGCAGAUGGCUCACGAGACAUCCGCUUUCCGUGUCUCUGUUUGUGCGAGCGAGAGUAAUAAAAAAAAACCCUUAGGUCCACAGCCACAAAAACACACGCCCAUAAACAUAUUCACACAUUCUUUCUCUUGUUGUCUGCUUUUUGUAAUUGUUUGUACCUGGAAGUCCAAAAGCAGACUCUGGAAUUAUUCAUACGAUUUCAUAAAUUAUUGAGAAUGCCCGAAAGGGGAAGAGCUUCGUUUUUGGAUGGAGUAAAUUUAUUUCCAGUUAUUGAUUUAAUACGUGGUUGAGUGUCAGUGGAAAGAGUGCGUUUUAUGAAUUAUUAACCAUUCAUAAUCAUGGCAUGAUCCCAUUUUUUCGCCGAAAGCCUAUUGGAUUGGCUCGACAUUUUUUUUUUUACCUUAUAACCAAAUAACUCUAUCGUUAUAUUUUACAGACGACCCCGCAUGUGCUACGACUUGAUCCAGCCAUCCGUUUGCACUCAGCCCC
ensembl:lncRNA